GAAAAUGAUGGGGCAAAACAUAAGAACUCUAGUAAGGAAAGGAAAUGUAAUGUAACCUUAAGCCCAAGGUGCUUAGGGCCACCACUUUUUUGGAUUAACCCCCUAUCAUUUUAGUUGUCUUUUCUGCUAGCUGAAUUGAAAUGUGCCGAGUUUUCAAAACCCAACAUAGGCAAGCUGCAAUAGGCUUUGUACACUUGCAUUCUGAGUACACACCUGCACUUCAAACAUGACUACUCAACUAGAAAUUUUCCAUCUCCUCUUCUCUUUGUGUUAUCCUUGCUUCUUCUCAAGCAAUGGCUUCACUUCCUCUAACCUUCUUCCCAGCAUUUCUGGGGCGAGAGCCAUCUAGUUUCAACUCUAUCCAUUGCUGUAAGAACCCAAAGGAAACAUUUGAACUUUCUUCAAAUGGGCAGCUCACUUUUCCUGAAAAGAAUCCUCUAAUAUUGUACCCAACUAAAAUCCCACCUCCUAGGCCUCGCAGGAUAAUACUGGUUCGACAUGGAGAAAGCGAAGGUAACGUUGAUGAGAGUACCUACACAAGAGUUCCCGAUCCAAAGAUUGGACUCACAGAGAAAGGCAAGGCACAAGCUCAAGAAACUGGGAAAAGAAUUAGACAGAUGAUUGAGAAAGAUGGUAGUGAUUGGAAGGUCUACUUCUAUGUGUCACCAUAUAGAAGGACCCUCGAAACAUUGCAGAAUUUGGCUCGACCAUUUGAGCGUACAAGGAUUGCUGGCAUGAGAGAGGAGCCUCGUCUACGAGAACAAGAUUUUGGUAUCUAUCUUUCACUCUGAUCAACUAUUAGUUGUUGCACAAACCAUUCAAGCUUGCAGUGCUCAUUUUCUAACUAUUAAUCAAGUUAAAGAGUCCAUAAGUUCUUUCUAAAUUGAUUUCUUGAGGUAAUUUCUUCUUUCUCCUCUUCGUUGACAAGGGAAUUUUCAGGACAGAGAGAAGAUGCGAGUUGAGAAAACCCUUCGAAUACUCUAUGGGCGUUUCUUUUACCGAUUUCCCAAUGGAGAAUCUGCAGCUGAUGUUUAUGAUAGAAUCACAGGUAUCUCUCCCAUGUAAUCAUUAUUAAAGAAAAAAAUUUUAUUUCUUUGAUAGUUUUAAUGCUGUGGCGAAUCAUUAAUGAAACAGGAUUCAGAGAAACACUGAGAGCAGACAUUGAUAUCGGACGCUUUCAGCCACCAGGGGAACGAAGUCCAAAUAUGAACUUAGUGAUAGUGUCUCAUGGCCUCACAUUGCGUGUUUUUCUAAUGAGGUGGUACAAAUGGACUGUGAAACAAUACGAGGCACUCCACAACUUUGGCAAUGGAGGAAUGAUAGUUAUGGAAAAAGGUUAUGGCGGAAGGUAACCCUUUUUGACAUCUUUCAUGGUGAAGUAGUCAAAUAAUCAAUAAAUGUAAUGUGGUCUCCUUGUUUAUUUCAAUCACAAUUUUCCAUGAAAAAAGAGAAGGAAAUUUCAUCAUAUCUAGAAAGCAAUCUCGACUCUGUUUUAUACGCCACCUAAUCUUUUACAGGUACAGCUUAUUAAUGCAUCACACAGAAAAAGAGCUAAGGGAGUUUGGAUUGACAGAUGAAAUGCUGAUUGAUCAAGAAUGGUAAAAAGCUCAAAUCUAAUCUUUACAUUUCAAAAUUCCAACUGAAAUGCUGAAACCUAGUUCCUGAACCUGUUUUGACUAAUAUGGGUGUUUGUUGGCUUCUCAUCAAGGCAAAAAGCGGCAAGACCAGGUGAACUAAACUAUGAUUGUCCUACCAUGAAUUCUUUCUUCACCCACUUUGAUGAUUAGGGCUGCAAAACUCGACUCGAAGGAAAAGAUGCAUUAUUCAUCAAUUCCAACAUCAUAAAAAACUAGAGAGUACCAAGAGCAGACUAGUCUUGCUUGCUUAAGAAUACAAUUGUGAGCAGUAAGCCAAGGCUCUAAAGAAGUUGUAUGCAGCAAUUUAAGGCAAAACCGACAGGAUCAGUGAUCAGGAUUCAGAUAAUGUUCUGUAAAUAUCACCCUGCAACACAAAUGCGUAGAAAAUAAAGUGUGCGCAGCUUGUUAAUUGCGAGUUUUUGUUUUUUUGGCCCCUCCAUCCUGGACAGAGUUCUUUCAAAGUUGAUUUUGUAUUGGCAACAUAUAGAAUGCAUCUAAAUACAUAUUAAGAGCUCCCUUUCUGGGUUAAUCCAAUACCAUUCCUCGUUCUGCCCAACAGAACAAGGCACAAAAAUAAAGCAAGACCACAAAUGUAGUUCCCACAUGAAGAAUAUAAGGAGCUCUACUACUACGCCACGAGAUAAAACCCAGAUUAUAAAUAAGAUGGUCAUCAUUGAAUAGACCUUACUGAAUUGUGCUCAAGGAAUUUCUCGACAUAAAGAAAAACAUGACAUUCAACUUGAACAAAGCAAUGGUAAAAAUAUAUUGACAUUUCAUUGAUUUAACAAAACUCAUUGGCCUGUCACCCAAAAUUGGCUUAAAUUAAUAAAUAAAUAGGGCAAAUUAUAGGCCCUUAACAAAAUUCGUAAAAGGAUAAUAAUUAAGGA
rnacentral:misc_RNA from 1 species